GUAGGGAAUAUUGGGCAAUGGAGGCAACUCUGACCCAGCCAUGCCGCGUGCAGGAAGACGGUCCUCUGGAUUGUAAACUGCUUUUGAAUGGGAAGAACACUACCCUUGCGAGGGUAUUUGACGGUACUAUUAGAAUAAGCACCGGCUAACUCCGUGCCAGCAGCCGCGGUAAUACGGAGGGUGCAAGCGUUAUCCGGAUUUAUUGGGUUUAAAGGGUGCGUAGGCGGCUUGAUAAGUCUGGGGUUAAAGGCGGCAGCUUAACUGUACGCAUGCCCUAGAUACUGUUGAGCUUGAGUGACCUGGAGGUAGCUGUAAUUCCCUGUGUAGCGGUGAAAUGCAUAGAUACGGGGAGGAAUACCGAUUGCGAAGGCAUGUUACUACGGGUAAACUGACGCUGAUGCACGAAAGCGUGGGGAUCAAACAGGAUUAGAAACCCCUGUAGUCC
rnacentral:rRNA from 1 species